GACGAACGCUGGCGGCGUGCUUAACACAUGCAAGUCGAACGGAAAGGCCCUGCUUUUGUGGGGUGCUCGAGUGGCGAACGGGUGAGUAACACGUGAGUAACCUGCCCUUGACUUUGGGAUAACUUCAGGAAACUGGGGCUAAUACCGGAUAGGAGCUCCUGCUGCAUGGUGGGGGUUGGAAAGUUUCGGCGGUUGGGGAUGGACUCGCGGCUUAUCAGCUUGUUGGUGGGGUAGUGGCUUACCAAGGCUUUGACGGGUAGCCGGCCUGAGAGGGUGACCGGACACAUUGGGACUGAAAUACGGCCCAGACUCCUACGGGAGGCAGCAGUGGGGAAUAUUGCACAAUGGGCGGAAGCCUGAUGCAGCGACGCCGCGUGCGGGAUGACGGCCUUCGGGUUGUAAACCGCUUUCGCCUGUGACGAAGCGUGAGUGACGGUAAUGGGUAAAGAAGCACCGGCUAACUACGUG
rnacentral:rRNA from 1 species